AAAUUGAAGAGUUUGAUCAUGGCUCAGAUUGAACGCUGGCGGCAGGCCUAACACAUGCAAGUCGAGCGGUAGCACAGAGAGCUUGCUCUCGGGUGACGAGCGGCGGACGGGUGAGUAAUGUCUGGGAAACUGCCUGAUGGAGGGGGAUAACUACUGGAAACGGUAGCUAAUACCGCAUAAUGUCGCAAGACCAAAGUGGGGGACCUUCGGGCCUCAUGCCAUCAGAUGUGCCCAGAUGGGAUUAGCUUGUAGGUGGGGUAACGGCUCACCUAGGCGACGAUCCCUAGCUGGUCUGAGAGGAUGACCAGCCACACUGGAACUGAGACACGGUCCAGACUCCUACGGGAGGCAGCAGUGGGGAAUAUUGCACAAUGGGCGCAAGCCUGAUGCAGCCAUGCCGCGUGUGUGAAGAAGGCCUUCGGGUUGUAAAGCACUUUCAGCGGGGAGGAAGGCGGUGAGGUUAAUAACCUCAUCGAUUGACGUUACCCGCAGAAGAAGCACCGGCUAACUCCGUGCCAGCAGCCGCGGUAAUACGGAGGGUGCAAGCGUUAAUCGGAAUUACUGGGCGUAAAGCGCACGCAGGCGGUCUGUCAAGUCGGAUGUGAAAUCCCCGGGCUCAACCUGGGAACUGCAUUCGAAACUGGCAGGCUAGAGUCUUGUAGAGGGGGGUAGAAUUCCAGGUGUAGCGGUGAAAUGCGUAGAGAUCUGGAGGAAUACCGGUGGCGAAGGCGGCCCCCUGGACAAAGACUGACGCUCAGGUGCGAAAGCGUGGGGAGCAAACAGGAUUAGAUACCCUGGUAGUCCACGCCGUAAACGAUGUCGAUUUGGAGGUUGUGCCCUUGAGGCGUGGCUUCCGGAGCUAACGCGUUAAAUCGACCGCCUGGGAGUACGGCCGCAAGGUUAAAACUCAAAUGAAUUGACGGGGCCCGCACAAGCGGUGGAGCAUGUGGUUUAAUUCGAUGCAACGCGAAGAACCUUACCUGGUCUUGACAUCCACAGAACUUAGCAGAGAUGCUUUGGUGCCUUCGGGAACUGUGAGACAGGUGCUGCAUGGCUGUCGUCAGCUCGUGUUGUGAAAUGUUGGGUUAAGUCCCGCAACGAGCGCAACCCUUAUCCUUUGUUGCCAGCGGUCCGGCCGGGAACUCAAAGGAGACUGCCAGUGAUAAACUGGAGGAAGGUGGGGAUGACGUCAAGUCAUCAUGGCCCUUACGACCAGGGCUACACACGUGCUACAAUGGCAUAUACAAAGAGAAGCGACCUCGCGAGAGCAAGCGGACCUCAUAAAGUAUGUCGUAGUCCGGAUUGGAGUCUGCAACUCGACUCCAUGAAGUCGGAAUCGCUAGUAAUCGUAGAUCAGAAUGCUACGGUGAAUACGUUCCCGGGCCUUGUACACACCGCCCGUCACACCAUGGGAGUGGGUUGCAAAAGAAGUAGGUAGCUUAACCUUCGGGAGGGCGCUUACCACUUUGUGAUUCAUGACUGGGGUGAAGUCGUAACAAGGUAACCGUAGGGGAACCUGCGGUUGGAUCACCUCCUUACCUUAAAGAA
rnacentral:rRNA from 1 species